GUAGAGUAGUUUGAUUCCGUGGCUCGAGGAUGAACGCUGGGCGGCGUGCUUAACACAUGCAAGUCGAACGGUGAACACGGAGCUUGCUCUGUGGGAUCAGUGGCGAACGGGUGAGUAACACGUGAGCAACCUGCCCCUGACUCUGGGAUAAGCGCUGGAAACGGCGUCUAAUACUGGAUAUGUGACGUGACCGCAUGGUCUGCGUUUGGAAAGAUUUUUCGGUUGGGGAUGGGCUCGCGGCCUAUCAGCUUGUUGGUGAGGUAAUGGCUCACCAAGGCGUCGACGGGUAGCCGGCCUGAGAGGGUGACCGGCCACACUGGGACUGAGACACGGGCCCAGACGUCCUACGGGAGGCAGCAGUGGGGGAAUAUUGCACAAUGGGCGCAAGCCUGAUGCAGCAACGCCGCGUGAGGGAUGACGGCCUUCGGGUUGUAAACCUCUUUUAGCAGGGAAGAAGCGAAAGUGACGGUACCUGCAGAAAAAGCGCCGGCUAACUACGUG
rnacentral:rRNA from 1 species